rnacentral:sRNA from 1 species
ACGAGGUGCCUCGCUGAUUGGGGCCGAUGGAAGCGUAAAGAACUCUCAUCAUCCCAGGUCGGCAGGCGCCUCUUCUAUAUCCGGGGCCACCCGAACCGAUCACCAAACGAUGGAUCCAG